AAUUUUAACUUUAAAUAGUUGAAUGAAAAUAUAAUAAAGAAUUUCUCUAAAGCUAAAAAUUGCGUAGUUUUAUGCCCUUGGUUUAGGUUAUAUUAAUCUUAACUCAUAUUAUACUAGUUGAUUUGUUAUUAUUUUAUAAUUUAGAUGAAAAUAUUAUAUGACUUAUUAUGUAUAAGAUCGAGCGCUUACCACCAUACUAAAAGUUUAAACUUUUAGCAUAGGUGUAACUCUAACCCUUUAUAGCGUAGUAACCCAAGCGCCAUAGGUCGAAGGAAUCUGGGCAGGAUGUUGAUCUACUGAGUUAUCCCCAUUUAAUGCCAAUAAUCUACCCCUAGCACCUGCCAAAGAUUCAAACCUAUUACUUUGGCUGUGAUACCAAUUGUAUGAUCAAACACUUAAUACCGUGCCAAAAGCUUAAACUUUUAACAGAAACACAACUCUAAUCCCUUAUAACGUAAUAAACUAAAUGCUAUAGGUCAAAAGAACUUAGGCAGGAUGCUGGUCCACUGAGUUAUCCCCAUUCAGUGCUAACAUUAUGGAUAUUUGGUGUUAUCUCGUAUUUUUAUGUGAGAAUUGUUAGUUUAAUUUAAGUAUAUAUCUUGAGUAAGUUAUUAUGUUUAUGUUACUAUAUUGAUAUUUUAUUUUGAUAUAAGUAUUAUUAUUUUAAUAUUACUGUUAUUAUUUUUAUUGAUAUUUUAA
rnacentral:misc_RNA from 1 species